AGUAGAUGUUCAUUGGGAAGUUGGUUCCAAAGUAGAUUCUGCAUCCAAGUAGGGGUGACUAGAAUUAUGGUGGUUGUUGGCCAAAUGUUACCCCUGAGAUUAGACAGGAAAUCCUCAAUUUUCUUUCUUCUCUGUCUUCUUUCUGCAUCUUGAGUCUGAUCUAAUUCCUGCUUUGUUACCGGCUUCUUUCUUAGAAUCUAUUUUAGCAAAAAAAAUUAUCAGUAAAAAACUAAAGCAGUUUGAUAAAUUUCUUUUUUUCCCCCCACCCAUUUUAUCAUUUAUAUGAUUCUAGAAUACAGGAUUCCAAAUCAUCAAAAAACAAUUCCAAAUCAUUAAAAAAGAUAAAAAAAAAUCCUGAAUUCCAGAUUAUUGAUCCUAGUCAAAUGUAACUACAAGCAGAAAAUUGUAGCUAAGGUUCCUACUAGAUUGAAUAAACCACUGCCACCUAAGAGUUCACCUGGCCCAGCAUUAAAGAAGAAAGAAGAAUCAACUGACAGUUCAGAAAGCGAUUCAGAAGAUGAGGAAACUGCUAAAGCUGCUUUUUGAGCAUGUUUGUGUGACAUCCAACCUAGUUGAACCAUUAGUCAUUUUCCACCUAGGAUAUAAGCCACAAUAACUUUGCUAAUUGGCUCCCACCACAGGUGGGGAAUUUGUCAAGUCUGCAAUAACUG